UCAAGAUAUUAAGGGCACAUAACGGAUGCCUUGGUUCUGAUAGGCGAAGAAGGACGUGGUAAGCUGCGUUAAGCCUCGGGUAGUAGCAAACAUAUGUUAAUCCGGGGAUUUCCGAAUGGGGAAACCUAACAUUGGUAGUGCAAUGUUAUCAUUAAUUGAAUACAUAGAUUAAUGAAGCGAUACCUAGGAAAGUCAAACACAAAGUUACCC
rnacentral:rRNA from 1 species